rnacentral:rRNA from 1 species
CUUAGGGGACUAUCGGCUCAAGCCGAUGGAAGUGCGCGGCAAUAACAGGUCUGUGAUGCCCUUAUAUGUUCUGGGCCGCACGCGCGCUACACUGACAGGGCCAGCGAGUACAUCACCUUGGCCGAGAGGUCCGGGUAAUCUUGUUAAACCCUGUCGUGCUGGGGAUAGAGCAUUGCAAUUAUUGCUCUUCAACGAGGAAUGCCUAGUAGGCACGAGUCAUCAGCUCGUGCCGAUUACGUCCCUGCCCUUUGUACACACCGCCCGUCGCUACUACCGAUUGAAUGGCUAAAA